AUGCUCCCCUACAUGUACACGCUCAUGUACGAGGCGCACACAACAGGGGCGCCCAUCGCCCGCCCGCUCUUCUUCUCCUACCCGCAGGACGCCGACACCUACGGCGUGGACAAGCAGUUCCUGCUCGGGCGCGGCGUGCUUGUAUCUCCGGUGCUACAGCCGGGUGCCACCACCGUCGACGCCUAUUUCCCGGCGGGCCGGUGGUUUAGUCUCUAUGACCACAACUACCCCCUCACCGUCGCCACACGGACCGGCAAGCGUGUUACACUUCAGGCGCCAGUGGACUCGGCUAACGUGCACCUGGCCGGCGGCAACAUCCUACCAUUGCAGCAGCCGGCGCUGACCAUGUCUGCCGCACGGCAAGGCGAGUUUCACCUCCUUGUGGCGCUCACGGAGAACGGCACAGCCAGUGGGGAGCUAUUCUUGGAUGACGGCGAGUCCAUGGAGAUGGGCGGGGUGGGAGGCAAGUGGACCCUGGUGAAAUUUAGCUGCAGCACGGAGGAGAGCGAGGGUAUCAUCACGACCACGGUGAGUUCCCAUGUGGUGCAGAACUCAUACGCGCCGAGUCGGGCGCAGGUCAUCGGCAACGUGGUCUUUAUGGGGCUCCAGUCGCCAGCAAAAGGGUUCACUAUCUAUGUGAACAACGUUGAGCUCAAGGCAGCCCGCACCAAGUCCCGGACGAGUGGAGCGUUUAGCGUCAGUGGCCUGUCGCUGGCCAUUGGAAAGGAGUUCCAGAUCAAGGUCGUCAUGUCCCAUUAA
rnacentral:rRNA from 1 species